rnacentral:sRNA from 1 species
AUUUAGAGCCGGGUAGGGGAGCGCAGCGGCCAGAUACCUCAGCGCUACCUGGCGGAACUGGAUUUCUCUCCCGCCUGCCGGCCUGCCUGCCACAGCCGGACUCCGCCACUCCGGUAGCCUCAUGGCUGCAACCUGUGAGAUUAGCAACAUUUUUAGCAACUACUUCAGUGCGAUGUACAGCUCGGAGGACUCCACCCUGGCCUCUGUUCCCCCUGCUGCCACCUUUGGGGCCGAUGACUUGGUACUGACCCUGAGCAACCCCCAGAUGUCAUUGGAGGGUACAGAGAAGGCCAGCUGGUUGGGGGAACAGCCCCAGUUCUGGUCGAAGACGCAGGUUCUGGACUGGAUCAGCUACCAGGUGGAGAAGAACAAGUACGACGCAAGCGCCAUUGACUUCUCACGAUGUGACAUGGAUGGGGCCACCCUCUGCAAUUGUGCCCUUGAGGAGCUGCGUCUGGUCUUUGGGCCUCUGGGGGACCAACUCCAUGCCCAGCUGCGAGACCUCAGUGAGUCCAGGCCCCUGGAGGCUGGGGAGCAGCUCCACAUGUUGAGCCGAGUUGAGUUCAGUGUGGCCGUAGGCAGGCCCUGGAGCUCUGGGCCAGCGGCACAGCCAGAGAGAGCCCUUGAGGGAGGGAUGAGGGGAGUGUGACCCUUCCUUCCUUCCUUGUCAGCUUCCAGCUCUUCUGAUGAGCUCAGUUGGAUCAUUGAGCUGCUGGAGAAGGAUGGCAUGGCCUUCCAGGAGGCCCUAGACCCAGGGCCCUUUGGUGAGAACCCGUUUUCUCCUUCCUCCCCCAGCCUGUCUUGUCCCAUCCCUGCCCCUCCACAGAGUGCUAGAGAUGACCCCCUCCCCAGACUUCUCCCUCCCUCAAUUAGAAAAAUUGCAGCAGGUCAUCAGACCC